rnacentral:rRNA from 1 species
GACGAACGCUGGCGGCGUGCUUAACACAUGCAAGUCGAACGGAAAGGCCCUGCUUUUGUUGGGUGCUCGUGUGGCGAACGGGUGAGUAACACGUGAGUAACCUGCCCUUGACUUUGGGAUAACUUCAGGAAACUGGGGCUAAUACCGGAUAUGAGCUCCUGCUGCAUGGUGGGGGUUGGAAAGUUUCGGCGGUUGGGGAUGGACUCGCGGCUUAUCAGCUUGUUGGUGGGGUAGUGGCUUUCCAAGGCUUUGACGGGUAGCCGGCCUGAGAGGGUGACCGGCGACAUUGGGACUGAGAUACGGCCCAGACUCCUACGGGAGGCAGCAGUGGGGAAUAUUGCACAAUGGGCGGAAGCCUGAUGCAGCAACGCCGCGUGCGGGAUGACGGCCUUCGGGUUGUAAACCGCUUUCGCCUGUGACGAAGCGUGAGUGACGGUAAUGGGUAAAGAAGCACCGGCUAACUACGUG